rnacentral:misc_RNA from 1 species
UCGUAACAAGGUUUCCGUAGGUGAACCUGCGGAAGGAUCAUUAAAAUACUUAUUACACACUGAUUUUGUGCAAAAACUACCAAACCUUUACUAUUCAAUUAACUUUACAAUCAAAACUUUCAACAACGGAUCUCUUGGUUCUCGCAUCGAUGAAGAACGCAGCGAAUUGCGAUACGUAAUAUGACUUGCAGACGUGAAUCAUUGAAUCUUUGAACGCACAUUGCGCCUUGAGGUAUUCCUCAAGGCAUGCCUGUUUGAGCGUUGGUUAACCUCUCCUAUCCUAGGGGGCCUUGGUUCCAAAUAUCGCUCGCACUGUUUCUAAGCUAACAGCGCAUUUUCACCCUCAAAUCAGGUAGGACUACCCGCUGAACUUAAGCAUAUCAAUAA